rnacentral:rRNA from 1 species
UACAUGGGGUGCAAACGUUGCUCGGAAUUAUUGGGCGUAAAGCGCACGUAGGCGGUUUGUUAAGUCGGAUGUGAAAUCCCUCGGCUCAACUGAGGAAGUGCACCCGAAACUGGCGCGCUUGAAUAUGGAAGAGGGUCGCGGAAUUCCCGGUGUAGAGGUGAAAUUCGUAGAUAUCGGGAGGAACACCAGUGGCGAAGGCGGCGACCUGGGCCAAUAUUGACGCUGAGGUGCGAAAGCGUGGGGAGCAAACAGG